rnacentral:misc_RNA from 1 species
GUGUUCGGAUUGCGGCGACGUGAGCGGUUCGCCGCCCGCGACGUCGCAAGAAGUCCACUGAACCUUAUCAUUUAGAGGAAGGAGAAGUCGUAACAAGGUUUCCGUAGGUGAACCUGCGGAAGGAUCAUUGUCGAAUCCUGCAAACCACCGUGAACACGUUAUUAACAUACCUGCGCUCUGCGUCGCGGGGGGACUCGUCCCUCCGCGCGCCCAGCGCAACAAAAACUUUCCGGCGCGGAAUGCGCCAAGGACUACUCGAAUUGAUCGACCGCGUCCACGGGCGCCUUCCGCCUAGCGGGCGCGGUUCGUCUGAAAAACUUUAACCAUAACGACUCUCGGCAACGGAUAUCUAGGCUCUCGCAUCGAUGAAGAACGUAGCGAAAUGCGAUACUUGGUGUGAAUUGCAGAAUCCCGUGAACCAUCGAGUCUUUGAACGCAAGUUGCGCCCAAAGCCAUUAGGCUGAGGGCACGCUUGCCUGGGCGUCACGCAUCGUCGCCACCCCCCACAAGUCGCCUCGGGCGCUUUGGGGCGGCGUAAUCUGGCCCCCCGUGUAAAGCGGCCGGCCUAAAUGCGAGUCCCCUGCUCCCGGGACGUCACGACGAGUGGUGGUUGGAAUCUCUCAACACGAUCGUAGUCGCGAACGACGACGGAGCGACGGGGCUCAAGCACGGACCCUCGAGCCUUGCACUUUGUGAUUUAGGCCCUCGACCAUGACCC